UCGAACGCAUCAGCAAUUAGUGGAAAGCCUCUUGAGGCGGGGAAGGGGAGAAAUCUCUGGAGCCGUGGAUGGGGGUCGGAAGCUUGACGCUGGUGAGUGGCGGAUGGGUGAGUAACACGUCGGUGACCUGCCCCAAAGUGGGGAAUAACUGCCCGAAAGGACAGCUAAUUCCGCAUGUGGUCUGUCGUUCGCUCGACAGAUUAAAGGCGAAAGCCGCUUUGGGAGGGGCUCGCGGCCGAUUAGCUAGUUGGUAGGGUAAUGGCUUACCAAGGCGAUGAUCGGUAGCUGGUCUGAGAGGAUGAUCAGCCACACUGGCACUGACACACGGGCCAGACUCCUACGGGAGGCAGCAGCAAGGAAUAUUGCACAAUGGGCGAAAGCCUGAUGCAGCAACGCCGCGUGGGCGAUGAAGGCCUUCGGGUUGUAAAGCCCUUUUCUGCGGGGAGAGCAAGGACGGUACCGCAGGAAUAAGUCUCGGCUAACUACGUG
rnacentral:rRNA from 1 species